GCGGUCCAAGUUCCUUGGAACAGGACGUCACAGAGGGUGAGAAUCCCGUACGUGGUCGCUAACCUUCGCCGUGUAAAGCCCCUUCGACGAGUCGAGUUGUUUGGGAAUGCAGCUCUAAAUGGGAGGUAAAUUUCUUCUAAAGCUAAAUACUGGCCAGAGACCGAUAGCGCACAAGUAGAGUGAUCGAAAGAUGAAAAGCACUUUGGAAAGAGAGUCAAAUAGCACGUGAAAUUGUUGAAAGGGAAGCGCUUGCAGCCAGACUUGCCUGUAGUUGCUCAUCCGGGCUUUUGCCCGGUGCACUCUUCUAUAGGCAGGCCAGCAUCAGUUUGGGCGGUUGGAUAAAGGUCUCUGUCACGUACCUCCUCUCGGGGAGGCCUUAUAGGGGAGACGUCAUGCAACCAGCCUGGACUGAGGUCCGCGCAUCUGCUAGGAUGCUGGCGUAAUGGCUGUAAGCGGCCCGUCUUGAAACACGGACCAAGGAGUCUAACAUCUAUGCGAGUGUUUGGGUGUCAAGCCCGAGCGCGCAAUGAAAGUGAACGGAGGUGGGAACCCUUAAGGGUGCACCAUCGACCGAUCCUGAUGUCUUCGGAUGGAUUUGAGUAAGAGCAUGGCUGUUG
rnacentral:rRNA from 1 species